GACGAACGCUGGCGGCGCGCCUAACACAUGCAAGUCGAACGAGCGAGAGAGAGCUUGCUUUCUUGAGCGAGUGGCGAACGGGUGAGUAACGCGUGAGGAACCUGCCUCAAAGAGGGGGACAACAGUUGGAAACGACUGCUAAUACCGCAUAAGCCCACGGUGCCGCAUGGCACAGAGGGAAAAGGAGCAAUCCGCUUUGAGAUGGCCUCGCGUCCGAUUAGCUAGUUGGUGAGGUAACGGCCCACCAAGGCGACGAUCGGUAGCCGGACUGAGAGGUUGAACGGACACAGGGGGAAGGAGAGGGGGAAAGGAGUCAGAGGGGAGGGAGGAGGGGGGAAGAUGGCAGAAGGGGGGAAGGCGGGAGGAGGGGGGGGGGGGGGAAGGAGGAAGGUUUGCGGAUUGUAGCCGGGUGUGGGGGGGGAAAAAGAGGACGGAAACGAACAGGGAAGUGACGGCGACCAACGGGCAAGCAGACGCAGUAAUAAUCGGAGGCGCAACGGGCCGACC
rnacentral:rRNA from 1 species